GCCUAACCCUAAACAUAGACAGCACCCUCACGAUGCUGUCCGCCAGAGAACUACGAACGAAAAGUUUAAAACUCAAAGGAUUUGGCGGUACCCAACUCCGACCUAGAGGAGCCUGUCCUGUAAUCGAUACUCCACGCUACACCCCACCACCCAUUGCAAUUCAGCCUAUAUACCGCCGUCGUCAGCCUACCUUAUGAAAGUGAUAAAGUGGGCAAAACAGUUAACAACUAAUACGUCAGGUCAAGGUGUAGCAAAUGGGGUGGAAGAGAUGGGCUACAUUUUCUAAGCCAGAAAACACGAACGGCACAAUGAAAUACGUGCCCAAAGGCGGAUUUAGCAGUAAGAUAGACAAGAUACACUAUCUUAAGCUCGCUCUAGGGUGCGC
rnacentral:rRNA from 1 species